GGGCUUAACGGCUCGCGGGGGNUGGAGCAGUUCGGUAGCUCGUCGGGCUCAUAACCGUUCGGUCGCAGGUUCGAGUCCUGCAAGGUCCA
rnacentral:tRNA from 1 species